rnacentral:rRNA from 1 species
GAUGAACGCUGGCGGCGUGCUUAAUACAUGCAAGUCGAACGGUGAAGCAGGAGCUUGCUCUUGUGGAUCAGUGGCGAACGGGUGAGUAACACGUGAGCAACCUGCCCCUGACUCUGGGAUAAGCGCUGGAAACGGCGUCUAAUACUGGAUAUGUGAUGUGACCGCAUGGUCUGCAUCUGGAAAGAAUUUCGGUUGGGGAUGGGCUCGCGGCCUAUCAGCUUGUUGGUGAGGUAAUGGCUCACCAAGGCGUCGACGGGUAGCCGGCCUGAGAGGGUGACCGGCCACACUGGGACUGAGACACGGCCCAGACUCCUACGGGAGGCAGCAGUGGGGAAUAUUGCACAAUGGGCGGAAGCCUGAUGCAGCAACGCCGCGUGAGGGAUGACGGCCUUCGGGUUGUAAACCUCUUUUAGCAGGGAAGAAGCGAAGGUGACGGUACCUGCAGAAAAAGCACCGGCUGACUACGUGCCAGCCGCCGCCGUAA